GUCAAUACUUUUGGCCUUUUGCUAUGGGGAAAGGUCUCUUCAGUGAGUCUGCAGAAUUAGAAGUAAUUUGUCUGGAGAAAAUAUUGACAUUUUCACACUGUUCCAGAUUAAAAGCUCCUUAUUCUAGCUCAAGUUUUGUGUAACUCAGUUACUAAAGCUUUGGAUUUGAAAGACACAGUGAACGUUAAAUAUAUUUAAAUUUAAAAAUUAUUUUCUCUGAAAAAUUUCAGAGUAUGACACAGUGAACGUUAAAUAUAUUUAAAUUAAAAAAUUAUUUUCUCUGAAACAUUUCAGAGUUGGUUAAGAUUGAAGUUCUAUACAGAUAGUGUUAUAGUAGGUUGGUGCGAUUUUCUUUAUAAGCUGUGCUUGUUUCCUGAAUAAAGUUAACUUUGAAUAUAUAGCAAGUGCUUUAGUAAAUGUGAUUUUGUGGUUUACUAUUUACAUCUUUAGUUAAGGUAUUAACUUGGUCUCUUUUUGAAUAAUCUUAUCUUAGAGAACAGGUUCCUGCACCAAAAGAUGAAACCUCUUCCCAAGUAGCAAGUGUUCUAGAUCCUAUAUUUAAAUCAAUGUGGGCAUGCCUAAAACUGUUCCUUUUUGUCUUCUUUGGAUAAUAUGGGAUGGAUUCCAAUCUGUUACCUUUUCAAAAAAAAAAAUAUGGGAUGGAUUCCUCAUCAUUAAUAUUGAUUACAAUCUCUUUUAUGCUCAGU
rnacentral:lncRNA from 1 species